rnacentral:rRNA from 1 species
GACGAACGCUGGCGGCGUGCCUAAUACAUGCAAGUUGAGCGCUGAAGGUUGGUACUUGUCCCCACUGGAUGAGCAGCGCACGGGUGAGUAACGCGUGGGGAAUCUGCCUUUGAGCGGGGGACAACAUUUGGAAACGAAUGCUAAUACCGCAUAAAAACUUUAAACACAAGUUUUAAGUUUGAAAGAUGCAAUUGCAUCACUCAAAGAUGAUCCCGCGUUGUAUUAGCUAGUUGGUGAGGUAAAGGCUCACCAAGGCGAUGAUACGUAGCCGACCUGAGAGGGUGAUCGGCCACAUUGGGACUGAGACACGGCCCAAACUCCUACGGGAGGCAGCAGGAGGGAAUCUUCGGCAAUGGACGAAAGUCUGACCGAGCAACGCCGCGUGAGGGAAGAAGGGUGUCGGAUCGUAAAACUCUGUUGGUAGAGAAGAACGUUGGUGAGAGUGGAAAGCUCAUCAAGUGACGGUAACUACCCAGAAAGGGACGGCUAACUACGUG